AUUGAACGCUGGCGGCAUGCUUUACACAUGCAAGUCGAACGGUAACAGGCCGCAAGGUGCUGACGAGUGGCGAACGGGUGAGUAAUGCAUCGGAACGUGCCCAGUCGUGGGGGAUAACGCAGCGAAAGCUGCGCUAAUACCGCAUACGAUCUAUGGAUGAAAGCGGGGGACCGUAAGGCCUCGCGCGAUUGGAGCGGCCGAUGUCAGAUUAGGUAGUUGGUGGGGUAAAGGCUAACCAAGCCAACGAUCUGUAGCUGGUCUGAGAGGACGACCAGCCACACUGGGACUGAGACACGUCCCAGACUCCUGCGGGAGGCAGCAGUGGGGAAUUUUGGACAAUGGGCGCAAGCCUGAUCCAGCAAUGCCGCGUGCAGGAAGAAGGCCUUCGGGUUGUAAACUGCUUUUGUACGGAACGAAACGGUCCUGGUUAAUACCUGGGGCUAAUGACGGUACCGUAAGAAUAAGCACCGGCUAACUACGUGCCAGCCGCCGCCGUAACAC
rnacentral:rRNA from 1 species